CCUACGGGUGGCAGCAGUGAGGAAUAUUGGUCAAUGGACGCGAGCCUGAACCAGCCAAGUCGCGUGAAGGAUGACUGCCCUACGGGUUGUAAACUUCUUUUAUAAAGGAAUAAAGUGAGGCACGUGUGCCUUUUUGUAAGUACCUUAUGAAUAAGGAUCGGCUAACUCCGUGCCAGCAGCCGCGGUAAUACGGAGGAUCCGAGCGUUAUCCGGAUUUAUUGGGUUUAAAGGGUGCGUAGGUGGGUUGUUAAGUCAGGUGUGAAAGUUUGGGGCUCAACCGUCAAAUUGCAAUUGAUACUGGCAGCCUUGAGUACAGUUGAGGUAGGCGGAAUGCGUGGUGUAGCGGUGAAAUGCUUAGAUAUCAUGAAGAACUCCGAUUGCGAAGGCAGCCUACCAAACUGCCACUGACAUUGAUGCUCGAAAGUGUGGGUAUCAAACAGGAUUAGAUACCCGAGUAGUC
rnacentral:rRNA from 1 species